rnacentral:rRNA from 1 species
ACGGGAGGCAGCAGUGGGGAAUAUUGGACAAUGGGGGAAACCCUGAUCCAGCGACGCCGCGUGAGUGAUGAAGUAUUUCGGUACGUAAAGCUCUAUCAGCAGGGAAGAUAAUGACGGUACCUGACUAAGAAGCCCCGGCUAACUACGUGCCAGCAGCCGCGGUAAUACGUAGGGGGCAAGCGUUAUCCGGAUUUACUGGGUGUAAAGGGAGUGUAGGUGGUUUUGCAAGUCAGAUGUGAAAGCCCGCGGCUCAACUGCGGGACUGCAUUUGAAACUGUGGAACUUGAGUGCAGGAGAGGAAAGUGGAAUUCCUAGUGUAGCGGUGAAAUGCGUAGAUAUUAGGAGGAACACCAGUGGCGAAGGCGGCUUUCUGGACUGUAACUGACACUGAGGCUCGAAAGCGUGGGGAGCAAACAGGAUUAGAUACCCUGGUA